rnacentral:rRNA from 1 species
GCAGGCUAGAGUUCGGUAGGGAGAUUCGGAAUUCUGGUGUAGCGGUGAAAAGCGCAGAUAUCAGGAGGUACACCGUUGGCGAAGGCGGAUCUCUGGGCCGACACUGACGUGAGGAGCGAAAGCGUGGGGGAGCGAACAGGAUUAAUACCCCUGGUAGUCCACGCCGUAAACGGUGGCACUAGGUGUGGGCGACAUUCCACGUCGUCCGUGCCGCAGUUAACGCAUUUAAGUGCCCCGCCUGGGGAGUACGGCCGCAAGGUUAAAACUCAAAGGAAUUGACGGGGGCCCGCACAAGCGGCGGAGCAUGUGGCUUAAUUCGACGCAACGCGAGAACCUUACCAAGGCUUGACAUACGCCGGAAAGCCGUGGAGACACGGUCCCCCUUGUGGUCGGUGUACAGGUGGUGCAUGGCUGUCGUCAGCUCGUGUCGUGAGAUGUUGGGUUAAGUCCCGCACGAGCGCAACCCUUGUCCCGUGUUGCCAGCAGCCCCUUCGGGGGUGCUGGGGACUCACGGGAGACCGCCGGGGUCAACUCGGAGGAAGGUGGGGACGACGUCAAGUCAUCAUGCCCCUUAUGUCUUGGGCUGCACACGUGCUACAAGGCCGGUACAAUGAGCUGCGAUACCGCGAGGUGGAGCAAUCUCAAAAAGCCGGUCUCAGUUCGGAUUGGGGUCUGCAACUCGACCCCAUGAGUCGGAGUCGCUAGUAAUCGCAGAUCAGCACUGCUUGCGGUGAAUACGUUCCCGGGCCAUUGUACAACGACCGCCUUUAUUUCGGGAAGGGGGCGGGGAGGUG